rnacentral:rRNA from 1 species
AUGUUGACAAAAUCACUUAAUAUGCAACCAUCCAUAGGAUUAGGAACCGGUACAAUCCAAUUUACAUCGACAAAACAUAUAACUACAAAGGCUGUCACUCGUGUUCUUGUCGUCGACCCUCCUGAUGGCAAUUAUAUGGCAUGGUGGAUUCUGAUGGACAGCAACAUACCACAGUGCAGCGGUUUGUUUCUACUUGGUUCCCUGCAGUUUGUCUCUACUUGUUAUCCCGCAGUGUUCAAGAUACAGAAGAAAUUCAAAGAAAAAUUAGGGUUAAAGAUCCAGAGAGGAAGCGGUCACCAAAGAGAAGUGUGCCGAAUGAAAGUCAAAUGA